rnacentral:rRNA from 1 species
UGGCCGCGGUAUUUUGACCGUGCGAAGGUAGCAUAAUCAUUAGUCUAUUAAAUGUGGUCUGGAAUGAAAGGUCUAACAGGGGGUAGCUUUCUUAAUUUUAUUUUUGAAUUUUAAUUGUCGGUUAAAAUGCUGACGUGCUGCAGAUGGACGAGAAGACCCUAUAGAGCUUUAUAUAAAGACUAUUUUUAGUAGAAUUAUUUGUUAGUUUUUGUAUUUUGUUGGGGCGACAAUAAGUAAUAAACAUUUAUUAUAUUUAUCUUUUUUUAAGGUUUUUGAUCCAUCAUUGGUGAUUAUAGACUAAGUUACCUUAGGGAUAACAGCGUAAUUUUAUUUUAGAGUUCUUAUCGAUAAUAAAGAUUGCGACCUCGAUGUUGGAUUAGAAUUCCUUUUUGGCGCAGGAGUUAAAAAAGGCAGUCUGUUCGACUGUUAAAAUUCUACA